AACGCACGAGACCUGCGGACCUGCGGAGGGAUCAUUAAUGAGUUGCAAAACUCCCUAAACCAUUGUGAACCUACCUGUACCGUUCCUUCGGCGGGCGGCGUCAAGCCCUAACCCGUCUCCCUUUACGGGGGAUGGACCCGCCGGAGGCUCCUAAACUCUUAACUUUUGUUGGCAUCUCUGAGUAAAUCAAAAUAAGUCAAAACUUUUAACAAUGGAUCUCU
rnacentral:misc_RNA from 1 species